rnacentral:rRNA from 1 species
UACGAAGGGGGCGAGCGUUGUUCGGAUUUACUGGGCGUAAAGGGCGCGCAGGCGGCAGACCAAGUCAGGCGUGAAAGCCCCGGGCUCAACCUGGGAACUGCGUUUGGGACUGGUUUGCUAGAGAUCGGGAGAGGAGAGUGGAAUUCCCAGUGUAGAGGUGAAAUUCGUAGAUAUCGGGAGGAACACCUGUGGCGAAGGCGACCCCCUGGUUGGAUACUGACGCUGAGACGCGAAAGCGUGGGGAGCAAACAGG